rnacentral:ribozyme from 1 species
UGCCCAGCAACUGCUAUACAUACCUCCUCGUGGUACCGGCCGGAAACUAUGAGCAACCUUAGGGAAGAUCGGUGGAAACUUUGGUCAUAGGCUGACAGGGAAGG